GUGUAGGUGUGUGUGUGCGUUCGUGUAUUCAGAGAACAAACACUGCCUGUCGCCGGCGACAGUGUUCUUUUACAGUAAGUAACUACUACAUCAAACUCUGGUCGGUUAUAUAAACAAGAAAGAUUAACGAAGGGGUUCUAGUACAGAUCGGAGAAAUAUGCACUUUGAUUUGAGGAAUGAUGAAGAAGGGAUUCAGAACAUCAUCAAAUUGUUCCUUCCUUCUUGUUACAGAGGUGGUCUUUGUUGACUCAAUACGUCUCUUAAUAUUCCACUUCAGUCUUCCCAAUCCUUACUCCAGUCAUCAAUCUAGAUGAUGGUGGAGAUGUAUACAUAUGCAUGUCUUAUUUUAGGGAUGACCACCGCCCCAACCACAACAACAAUCCUCUGUAAGUAAACUUCAGAUCCUUUAUCUUGUCUUCCUAUGGCUUUCAGGCUGAUGUUAAAGCAUUGCAGAAGGUUCUCCAAUCCAGUCCAGACACUUGGUGAGGUUUCCUUUGCUCUUUUGAUCAUAUCUCUUUCAUCCUUGUCAUUUGAGAGCUUGCUUGGUUUGGUUCAUGUUCUUAUUUUGCAGGGUGAUGAUGGCAAUUUUCUCAAUUAUACUGUAUGUUCCUUCACUCUCAUUCUCACCUAGAAGCUACCACUCCAUAUCCCACGUUCUUCUUGUAUCCGCAAGUUUAAUGACACUAUACAGGUCAAUUCAUAACACAAGGAGCCAAGUGAAGAGCCGAGUUGUGUAGCCAUACGUGAGAGCUAUGGACUAUUUUGGGUCAGAGUUUUGGUGGCUUCUGUGCACUUACAUACUUGAUCUUUGCCCCCGAAGGACUCAAUCAACUUUGCGAAGUCACUAACCAUGCCUUGAAGCCUUUCAAAGCUGCCGCUGAUCACUAACAAGAUACACAAGGAGCCGAUGAUCCAUCCAUUUAGACAUCGAUCAAAUUGUUAGGAUUCUCUCUUGGUGGUUCUGCUAACAGAGCAGACAAACCUAUGUUGUCUUGCUAUGGCUUUCAGGCUGAUGUUAAAGCAUUGCAGAAGGUUCUCAAAUCCAGUCCAGACACUUGAUCUAUCAGCAUCAGCAUAGCAGGCAGAUGAGUUUUCCUGCUAUGGUUCAUCUUCUCUCCAGCACGCUUUAUUUCAAGCGUUUUUCCCCUACUUAAUGUUCUAGGAGGGAUUGACGAGGAAGGAAAAGGGGAUCAUAUGAGCGAGUUGGAUACGGUGCACAAGAUUCUGGUUCCACACUUAUCAUGCCUUUCCUUGACAACGAGCUCAAGUCGCAAGUCCCCUUCUGACCUAAACUGGUGCAUGUAUUGUUGGCCAUGGAAGAUACACAAGGAUCCGAGUGAAGAUUCGAGAUGUUUGUUCUGUUGGCUGGUGGGGACUUGAGGAGGCUGCUUGCAGAGCCAAACUCAAAAGGCCAAGCCGAUAAUCCAUGUUGUUAAUGAUGUAAUCCAGUCUCUGCAGCAACAACUUUAUCCGUAAGAUUAAUCGGAUAAAUAAGCCUUAAAGCCAUUCAAAGCCCUACCAUUGUUUGAUAGUUGCUACAUUGAAAACUAACAAGGUGCAUGUUGGCCAUGUAAGAUACACAAGGAGCCGAUGAUCCGUCCAUGUAGACAUCAAUCGAAGUAUAAUUUGUUAGGAUUCUCUUGGCGGUUCUGCUAACAGGUGAGUCUCCCAGUUGUUAGAAGGUUUGUUCAGUCUGUUAGUGACCAAGCCGUUGGAGUGGGAGUCAUUUGUGGAGUCAGACCAGAUCAGCAGUUGGUCAAGUUGUUUCAUUUUGGUUUCAGUAAUAGUACUGAAGUGUGGCUUGUCAUAUUCGCCAUAGAAGAAGAUACACUAGGAGUCAAGUGAAGAGCCCAGAUGUUUGUUGAGUUGACUGGUUGACUUGAGGAGGCUGCUUGCUGAGCAAACUAGAAGGCCAAGAUUGUACAUGCUGAUCUACUGAAAUUGAUGGAUGGAGGAGUAUCACUUUGCUAACUCAGUUCCUACAUUAAAAUUGUUACCUAAAGAAGCAGCAGGGAAAAAUUCUUGAAUUCUUAUUCUGGAGAUGUAAUCAACCUGCUGCCAUCGAUCAACUUUUCAUUUUAGCUGAACAGUUGUUCAUCGAUGAUGUAUAGACUCCAUUGCUGUUUUCGAACAAAUGAUUGAGAUGGCGCUGAAUUAUGAUCCAAACGAUGGAAUACCCCUCUUCUUGCUCUUAGUUCCCCAACCAUAAUUGAUACAUAGAUGAGCUACUUAUUGUUUCUGAAUCUAGAAGCUCUUCACUUCAUAGCUCCAGCUUUUGCCUGCACCCCAAAGAAGUACACCACAUCUGCCAUAAUUUUAAGGGAUGACCUGCCCAACAAAUAACAACGAGUCAACAACAACAAUGGAAAAAUCAUCUGAUCCAAACAGUGUUGAUGAAUACUAUUUGGUGGAAGUUCGUGUCUUUUCAAGUGAUGGAUGUUCAGUGGACGUUGUUUUGAUGGCGUUUCUUCUUCAAUUCUUAUCAGAUUCCCGAGGCCUUUGGAUUUCUCUACGUAGAUAAUAUUUGAUGCGACUCAUUCCUUGAAGCCAUUCAACAAAGCUGCCGCUGCUGAUCUCUUGGCCAAGAUAGUGGGUUCUCCUCCCCGAUUAUAUGAUUGUUGCUACACAUUUAGAACGAAUAAGGUGCAUGUAUUGUUGGCCGUGGUUGAUACACAAGGUUCCAAGUGGAGAUGUUUGUUCAGUUCACUGGUGGAGUCGAGGAAGGAGGCUGCUUGCAGAGCCAAACUCAAAGGCCAAGGGUCUGAAGUCGCAGCUGCAAGAGUUCAUUCCGGAACAACAGGUUAGCGUAGACCUCUUCUACAUUAAUUUUUCUAUAAAGGUAAAAUGCCCUUCUUUGUUUUCUUCGGAACAACAGGUUAGCGUAGUUACGAUGAACUUGACAAUUAUUUGAUGAUUGAGAUAUUUCUUAAAUGCCUCAAGGCUCUGGUCAUACACUUCUACUUGCAAGUUUAAGUUCAUGAUACGGUUUGUUUUGCUGAACUUUAUCAUCCCAUGUUUUCUUACCUUUAUCAUUCAAUUUGUGUAGUUUUAAGCCGCAUAACUUCAGCUUAUGUUUUUAGUUUCAAGUUGAACUCUGGUUUUGUAUUUGAAUGCUUGUUAUUGUUAUUUAAGUACUUGUAGUUUGCAUUUUCAACUCUGCAAAUGGAUGUUAUAUUU